AAAACAGGCACUGCAAAUACACCAGCUAGGUUCAAACCACCAUAGACCAGUGCAAUGGGACAGGAGUGCACUGCACUCAGGCUCUCCGGGCAACGAGUGGACUGAAGAAAAUCCUCAGUACAGGUCUACCAGAUUGGAACAAGGGCACGGAUGGGCCAGAAACAAGGAGAUAAAAACCCCCGUCUGGAUGGUGAACUCCCUAUACCAGAAGUAAAGCAACACUCUUAUCAUCGGAGACCUGGAGUCAAGGCCAAGAAAAAUCAGUACAAAUAAGGCUUGUUAAACUAACCCUUAUCUUCCUAGUCACUUUUCCACCACUAACUGCCUUACCCCAAGCCCCUCUAUCUUGUCACAUUUUCAUAACUUACUUCUCUUUGCCCAUCCAAAUCAGUACAUUAAAUGUUCAGCUCUGCUUCUUUGGGUCUUCAUCUCCUAAAGGGACGUAUCCAUGUACAUUUCCAUGUAUGUGUAAAAUGUAAUAAAAUGUGUAUGCUUCUCUCCUCUG